GUGAGCAUUUCUGUGCUCUGCGCACCUAUGGGAAGAACAAAGCACAAUCAGUAAGAGGGACGAAGUAGAGAGGAAGUUUAUAUGAGGGAAAAGGAAACAGUGAUUGUUAAAGAUCAAUUUAAGCUACCCUACCAUUUUGCCUAUGCUUUCUCUACUAAAACUGAGAGCUUGAGGGAGGAAGGGAGGGAGGGUCUGGGAUUGUAACCGCCUACUGGCCGGUGGGGGCAGUAGGGAGCUGCCUAUAGGAGCAGAGCUAUAGCAGGCUGGGUAACCAGAUGCCUAGUCUGGGGGAGAACAUCAUGAUGUCUUCAGCCUGGAAGUUAGGAUUCAGAGUUAGGGCGUCCUAUUGAAGAGGUGGCUACUUAAAGGCACUCAGUGGCUUCUUAGGACAGAAAAUCCUGACCCUGUAGUUGGGUGGAGCCCAACGGGUACUACUUCUGGCCAAUGAGUUGUGAGGGAGAAAUAAAGCAUGAAAGAUCCUGGCUGGCAAAUUGAAUUGCUGACACAAGAUCCUCCAAAGCUCCUUACUUCUGCCACUCCCAUUGGCUGAACCCAACUGGAGGUCUUAGAUGCAAAAGCAGCCUCGAAGACACAGAGCAAUAUUCCAGAGGGUGGGCCUUCAGCCUAAAUCCAGUAUAAGGACGAUCCAGAACAAAGAACCAGCUUGAUUCACAACAGACACCUAAUAUGAAUUAUGACUCAAGAGUUAAAAUUGGCUGUUUCCAUUCCC
rnacentral:lncRNA from 1 species